rnacentral:rRNA from 1 species
CAGCCGUAAACUAUGCGCGUUAGGUGUACUGGUGACCACGAGUCACCGGGGUGCCGAAGGGAAACCGUGAAACGUGCCGCCUGGGAAGUACGGUCGCAAGGCUGAAACUUAAAGGAAUUGGCGGGGGAGCACCACGAACGGGUGGAGCCUGCGGUUUAAUUGGACUCAACGCCGGAAAUCUCACCGGAUAGGACAGACAUAUGAUAGUCGGGCUGAAGACUCUACUUGAUGAUCUGAGAGGUGGUGCAUGGCGUCAGUGACU